rnacentral:rRNA from 1 species
GACGAACGCUGGCGGCGUGCUUAACACAUGCCAGUCGAACGGAAAGGCCCUGCUUUUGUGGGGUGCUCGAGUGGCGAACGGGUGAGUAACACGUGAGUAACCUGCCCUUGAAUUUGGGAUAACUUCAGGAAACUGGGGCUAAUACAGGAUAGGAGCUCCUGCUGCAUGGUGGGGGUUGGAAAGUUUCGGCGGUUGGGGAUGGACUCGCGGGUUAUCAGCUUGUUGGUGGGGUAGUGGCUUACCAAGGCUUUGACGGGUAGCCCGCCUGAGAGGGUGGACGGCGACAUGGGGACUGAGAUACGGACCAGACUCCUACGGGAGGCAGCAGGGGGGAAUAUUGCAGAAUGGGCGGAAGCCAGAGGCAGCGACGCCGCGUGCGGGAUGACGGCCUUCGGGUUGUAAACCGCUUUCGCCUGUGACGAAGCGUGAGUGACGGUAAUGGGUAAAGAAGCACCGGCUAACUACGUG